GAAUCUGAAUGUACAAAAAAAAUCCGAAUGUUUCCGAAUAUAAGCAAAAAGUGCAAGGUAAACGGCGGGAGUAACUAUGACUCUUUAAAUUUAUGAAAAUGUCUUGUCAUCUAAUUAGUGCGCACAUAAAUUGACUGACAAGAUUC
rfam:Macrostomum lignano uti_cns_0008972, whole genome shotgun sequence.